rnacentral:rRNA from 1 species
CCCUUAGAUGUCCUGGGCCGCACGCGCGCUACACUGAUGCAUUCAACGAGCUUUACCUUGGCCGAGAGGCCUGGGCAAUCUUUUAAACCUGCAUCGUGAUAGGGAUAGAUUAUUGCAAUUAUUAAUCUUGAACGAGGAAUUCCUAGUAAACGCAAAUCAUCAAUUUGCAUUGAUUACGUCCCUGCCCUUUGUACACACCGCCCGUCGCACCUACCGAUUGGAUGGUCCGGUGAAGCCUCGGGAUUGUGGUUCUUGCCGCUUUAUUGUGGCGUGACCGCGAGAACUUGUCUAAACCUUAUCAUCUAGAGGAAGGUGAAGUCGUAACA